rnacentral:rRNA from 1 species
AUUGAACGCUGGCGGCAAGCCUAACACAUGCAAGUAGAACGAGUGGCGGACGGGUGAGAAAUGUCUGGGAAACUGCCUGAUGGAGGGGGAUAACUACUGGAAACGGUAGCUAAUACCGCAUACCAUCGGAUGUGCCCAGAUGGGAUGAGCUAGUAGGUGGGGUAAAGGCUCACCUGGGCGACGAUCCCUAGCUGGUCUGAGAGGAUGACCUGCCAACCGGGACCUGAGCACCGCUCCAGAGUCCUACGGGCGUGAGCAGUGGGGAAUAUUGCACAAUGGGCGCAAGCCUGCUGCAGCCAGGCCGCGUGUAUGAAGAAGGCCUUCGGGUUGUAAAGUUCUUUCAGCGGGGAGGCGUUACCCGCAGAAGAAGCACCGGCUAACUCCGUGCCAGCAGCCGCGGUAAUAC